UGUAAACAUCCCCGACUGGAAGCUGUAAGCUUUAGCUUUCAGUCAGAUGUUUGCU
rnacentral:pre_miRNA from 1 species